AGACUUUCCAAUUACUUCAGAGAUUGGAUGGUCCAGUCUAGUGGAAAGAACAUUUCCACGAGAACCUGACAUCUUGGAUUUGAAUUUCAGCCUGUAUGCAAGGCUAUAAACAGAGAACACAUUUUAUUCACAACUGUAACCCCACUGCCUUCCACAGUUCUGGAAACUUUUAGAUGCUCAGUAA
rnacentral:lncRNA from 1 species